rnacentral:rRNA from 1 species
UACGUAGGGUGCAAGCGUUGUCCGGAAUCAUUGGGCGUAAAGCGCGCGUAGGCGGCUCGAUAAGUCCGCUGUGAAAGUCAACGGCUCAACUGUUGAAAGCCGGUGGAUACUGUCGGGCUAGAGUACGGAAGAGGCAAGUGGAAUUCCUGGUGUAGCGGUGAAAUGCGUAGAUAUCGAGAGGAACACCUGCGGCGAAGGCGGGUUGCUGGGCUGACACUGACGCUGAGGCGCGAAAGCUUGGGGAGCGAACGGG